rnacentral:miRNA from 14 species
UGCCGAUGUCGGCUUGGGUUGUA